rnacentral:lncRNA from 10 species
GCUUCAUGACCACACUGCUGUAGGAAGCCAUAAGUUGGAAAUCAACGGGCCUGGCUUGAAGUGUGGCCUUAGGCAACACCGUUCUCAUCUACAUCUGGAUUCUCCAACAAAGCUGGAAACUGCGAUUGCAUUUAAGACCCACCCAGGUAAUCCAAGAUGAUCUUCCCAUCUCAAGACCCUUAACUGAAUCCCACCUCCAAAGUCCCUUUUGCCAGGUAAGGCAACAUUCCCAGGUCCCGGGGAUUAGGAUCUACAUAUGUUCGGGAGUGACUAUUGAGCCUACCAUGCAUACCACGCUCCUUCCCUCACCAGGGUCUUUGUACCUCUUGUCCCCCAUUACUAGAAUGCUCCCUUCUUCCCUCUCACUCUUUGCUUGGCCAUAUCUUUCUCAUUCUUGGGGACACAGCUUACCUGGCACCUCCUCAGACAACCUGUCUCGGACCAGCCCCUUAACAGCCUGAAGACUUUUUUUUUUUUUUUUUUGAUACGGAGUCUUGCUCUGUUGCCCAGGCUAGAGUGCAGUAGUGUGAUCUCAGCUCACUGCAACCUCUGCCUCCCGGGUUCAAGCAGUUCUCCUGCUUCAACCUCCCAAGUAGCUGGGAUUACAGGCACCUGCUACCAUGCCCGGCUAAUUUUUGUAUUUUUAGUAGAGACAGGGUUUCACCAUGUUGGCCAGGCUGGUCUCGAACUCCCGACCGCAAGUGAUCUGCCCACCUUGGCCUCCCAAAGUGCUGAGAUUACAGGCAUGAGCCACAGUGCCUGGAUGAAGACUUUUUCAUGUCUUUUUCAACUGACUUGUUUUCUGCCUGCCUCUCCCUCCACCCUCACCUAAGCACCUUGAGGACCAUGUCUGUUUUGUCAAUCCACUGGUCAUCCUAAUAUAACUGGUUAAUAAAUCAUUGCUGAAUUUAUUUAUUUAUUUAUUUAUGACAGUCUCGCUGUGUCGCCCAGGCUGGAGUGCAGUGGCAUGAUCUCAGCUCACUGCAACCUCCUCCUCCAAGAUUCAAGCGAUUCUCCUGCCUCUGCUUCCCAAGUAGCUGGGAUUACAGGCGUGCGCUGCCACACCCAGCUAACUUUUUUUUUUCUUCUUCUAUUUUUAGAGACAGGGUUUUGCCAUGUUGGCCAGGCUGGUCUUGAACUUCUGACCUCAAGUGAUCCAGCUGCCUCAGCCUCCCAAAGUGCUGAGAUUACAGGCAUGAGCCACCAUGCCUGGCCUCAUUGCUGAAUGAAUUUAAAGAUGACAAACUGACAACCCAAUACAGUGCUAUGCAAAUGGGCUGCUGUGUGUACUCCUCAGCGAAAGGAGACUCAACACCACCUUCCUCCUGAUCUGCUGUAUCAGAAACAAUGGUCUGGGCAGAACAGGGCACCAAUCACAAAGAAAACCCAUAGACACACUCCCAUGCAGGGUCCAGGGAGAUGCCACACCACCGAGUCAGCCAGACGCAAAACCUUUCAAGGAAGUAGGAUUUUACCUUGCUGGGUGACCACCUGAUCCCUUGCUUAUUAAACGCAGCUAAGCACUAUUUUAACACAAGGCCUGCAUGAGAGGCUGCUCGCUGUGGAGAGCCAGCCAUAAGUAAACCUUCUCCAUCCUUCUGUUAAAGACUCCUGGAGCCACUUUGAGGGAAUCGAGGGGGGCCAAGGGGCCUUUUCACAUGUGUUGCAGCCUUUUAGGCUGGGUACGGGGAGGCUCCUGCACAGCUGAAAACUUCAC